GUCGAGCGAUGAGGCUCCUUCGGGGGUACAUCAGCGGCAGACGGGUGAGUAACACGUAGGUGACCUACCCUCGAGACGGGGAUAACGGCUGGAAACAGUCGCUAAUACCCGAUAGACUUACCAGGUCAAAGCGGUAAGAAAAGCUACGGUGCUUGGGGAGGGGCCUGCGGCCCAUCAGCUAGUUGGUAGGGUAACGGCCUACCAAGGCGAAGACGGGCAGGGGGUGUGAGAGCACGAGCCCCCACAAUGGGACUGCGACACGGACCAUACUCCUACGGGAGGCAGCAGCAGGGAAUAUUGCACAAUGGACGGAAGUCUGAUGCAGCGACGCCGCGUGAGUGAAGACGGCCUUCGGGUUGUAAAGCUCUUUAACGGGGGACGAGGAAGGACGGUACCCUGGAGAAGAAGUGUCGGCUAACUACGUGCCAGCAGCCCCCGGUUAAGACGUAGGACACAAGCGUUAUCCGGAGUACUGGGGCGUAAAGCGCCUGCAGGCGGCCUGGUAAGUUGGACGUGAAAGCCCCGUGCUUAACGCGGGGAGCUCGGACAAUACUGCCAAGCUAGAGUGCGUCAGAGGGGAGUGGAAUUUCCGGAGUAGCGGUAANAUGCGCAGAUAUCGGAAGGAACACCAGUGGCGAAAGCGACUCCCUGGGGCGCGACUGACGCUAAGAGGCGAAAGCUAGGGGAGCGAACAGGAUUAGAGACCCUGGUAGUCCUAGCCCUAAACGAUGGAUGCUAGGUGUGGGACGUAAAGUUCCGUGCCGGAGCCAACGCGAUAAGCAUCCCGCCUGGGGACUACGGUCGCAAGGCUAAAACUCAAACGAAUUGACGGGGACCCGCACAAGCAGCGGAGCGGGUGGUUUAAUUCGAUGCUACACGAAGAACCUUACCUGGGUUUGACAUGUACGUGGUAGAGAAGCGAAAGCGGAUUGACCCUUCGGGGAGCGUACACAGGUGCUGCAUGGCUGUCGUCAGCUCGUGCCGUGAGGUGUCGGGUUAAGUCCCGUAACGAGCGCAACCCUUACCCUUAGUUGCACGUAUCUAGGGAGACUGCCGGCGGGAAGCCGGAGGAAGGUGGGGAUGACGUCAAGUCAGCAUGGCCCUUAUGUCCAGGGCUACACACACGCUACAAUGGCCGGUACAAAGGGCAGCAAAGUCGCGAGGCGGAGCGAAUCCCAACAAAGCCGGUCGUAGUUCGGAUUGCAGGCUGCAACUCGCCUGCAUGAAGCUGGAGUUGCUAGUAACCGCGCGUCAGCUAUAGUGCGGUGAAUACGUACCCGGGUCUUGUACACACCGCCCGUCACGUCAUGGAAGUCGGUAACGCCUGAAG
rnacentral:rRNA from 1 species